CGCUGAGUUUGAUCCUGGCUCAGGAUGAACGCUAGCGGCAGGCUUAACACAUGCAAGUCGAGGGGUAUUGGUUUUCGGACCAAGAGACCGGCGCACGGGUGCGUAACGCGUAUGCAAUCUACCUUUCACAGAGGGAUAGCCCAGAGAAAUUUGGAUUAAUACCUCAUAGUAUGUAUGAAUGGCAUCAUUUAUACAUUAAAGUCACAACGGUGAAAGAUGAGCAUGCGUCCCAUUAGCUAGUUGGUAUGGUAACGGCAUACCAAGGCGACGAUGGGUA
rnacentral:rRNA from 1 species